rnacentral:rRNA from 1 species
UACGAAGGGUGCAAGCGUUAAUCGGAAUUACUGGGUGUAAAGCGUGCGCAGGCGGUUUGUUAAGCCAGAUGUGAAAGCCCCGGGCUCAACCUGGGAACUGCGUUUGGUACUGGCAAGCUAGAGUACGGCAGAGGGGGGUGGAAUUCCACGUGUAGCAGUGAAAUGCGUAGAGAUGUGGAGGAACACCGAUGGCGAAGGCAGCCCCCUGGGCCGAUACUGACGCUCAGGCACGAAAGCGUGGGGAGCAAACAGG